rnacentral:lncRNA from 1 species
GACAGAGCGAGCGAGGAGCCGUUCACUCCAGGCGUUGGAGUAAUGUGGUCCUCUCCAGAUAAGGAUCCGGAAGACAGGCCUUCCAUGAUUGUUCUGAAGAACACUAAUUCUGAGACACAAAAACACCGAUAUGAUCUACCAUACAAGAGAUCUGAGACACACUGUCAUUCAGAAUACAAAAUGAGUCAUCGCCGUGGUUUUCAAGGAAGAAAGAGAGGUGCAAAUUAUAUCUGGCAUAAAUUUGACAGGAGGAACAAUCAUUUUAAUUAUCCUGGGUACUCCAUAUGCCGUGGGACUGAAAAGGAGGAAAGAAAGAUACAGUUAUGAGGACCGGUAUUUUCUUACUGUGUGGAAUGAUAGAAAA